CUUGGGGGGGGGUGUCCCUCAGCCCACAUUGCGAGAGGGUACAGGCCAGGCCGAGGGACCCCACCGGUGCAUG
rnacentral:pre_miRNA from 1 species